rnacentral:lncRNA from 10 species
CUCUCUGGGUGCUAUCACAGUUUCAUCAUUUACUUGGAAGUGCUGCUCCAGAAGGCAUCCAUCUUCCUGCUGCAGUUUGGACUGGUUGCUGUGUAGGCCGCCUGCACAUCUGUGGUCCUGGGGGUCCUGUUGACCAUUAUUUUGGUGCCUGGCUGAGAAUGCUGGAGACGUUGCAUUUGUGAAAGAUGUCACUGUCUUGCAGAACACUGAUGGAAAUAACAAUGAGGCAUGGGCUAAGGAUUUGAAGCUGGCAGACUUUGCGCUGCUGUGCCUCGAUGGCAAACGGAAGCCUGUGACUGAGGCUAGAAGCUGCCAUCUUGCCAUGGCCCCGAAUCAUGCCGUGGUGUCUCGGAUGGAUAAGGUGGAACGCCUGAAACAGGUGUUGCUCCACCAACAGGCUAAAUUUGGGAGAAAUGGAUCUGACUGCCCGGACAAGUUUUGCUUAUUCCAGUCUGAAACCAAAAACCUUCUGUUCAAUGACAACACUGAGUGU